rnacentral:tRNA from 1 species
AAGAUUUUAAGUUAAAUUAAACUAUUAGCCUUCAAAUCUAUUUAUAAUGAAAUUAAUCAUUAAAUCUUA